CCUACGGGUGGCAGCAGUGAGGAAUAUUGGUCAAUGGACGAGCGUCUGAACCAGCCAAGUAGCGUGAAGGAUGACUGCCCUAUGGGUUGUAAACUUCUUUUAUAUGGGAAUAAAAUGUUCCACGUGUGGGCUUUUGUAUGUAACCUAUGAAUAAGGCUCGGCUAACUCCGUGCCAGCAGCCGCGGUAAUAACGAGGAUGCGAGCGUUAUUCGGAUUUAUUGGGUUUAAAGGGGGCGUAGGUGGAUUUUUAAGUUAGUUGUGAAAGUUUGCGGCUCAACCGUAAAAUUGCAGUUGAAACUGGCGUUCUUGAGUACAGGAGAGGUGGGCGGAAUUCGUGGUGUAGCGGUGAAAUGCUUAGAUAUCACGAAGAACUCCGAUUGCGAAGGCAGCUCACUGGACUGCAACUGACACUGAGGCGCGAAAGUGUGGGUAUCAAACAGGAUUAGAUACCCCAGUAGUC
rnacentral:rRNA from 1 species